UUAGCAAAAAAAAAAAAAAAAAAGUUUAAUCUCUCCUUGAUGCGUGUCUAUUUACAUGUAAUAAAUCUGCAAAAUAGGAAAGAGCAGGAUAUUUACACAAGCAUGAAACAGCCAAAACCUGUCACUGCAGCUUCAAGUCUGAAACUCUUAAAAGGUAUCAGGAUUCAUGAAGUAUUAAAACUAUCUAAGGGAUUUUUUUCUUCCUCUUUAAUCUCUAUGGAGGUAUUUUACAUCCUACACUCCAUUUCUCAAAUGUAUUUGAACCAAAGUUUUGAGAAACAGAGUGCUGUUGCUGUAGGGAUCAACAGUGUUGGAUGAGGGAAACACUGAGGUUGAUGUCGUUAUUGGUUCCUGUGUGGAUCGGAGGAGAGGCUACCAUACUACAUACAGCCACUCAUGGAACAUC